AAUAAGCGCUGGCGGCGUGCCUAACACAUGCAAGUCGAGCGAGAAAGCUCCUUCGGGAGUUAGUAAAGCGGCGAACGGGUGAGCAACACGUGAGAAUCUACCCUUUAGUGAAGAAUACCCUCGAGAAAUCGAGGCUAAUACUGCAUACGUCCCUUCGGGGAGAAAGAUGGCCUCUUUGCUAUCGCUAAAGGAUGAGCUUGCGUACUAUUAGCUAGUUGGCGGGGUAAAGGCCCACCAAGGCAAUGAUGGUUAACCGGCCUGAGAGGGUGUACGGUCACACUGGAACUUAGACACGGUCCAGACUCCUACGGGAGGCAGCAGUGAGGAAUCUUGCGCAAUGGGCGAAAGCCUGACGCAGCGACGCCGCGUGGAGGAUGACGGUUUUCGGAUUGUAAACUCCUGUUAAGCGGGAAGAAAGCCUUGUUUCUAAUACAAGCAAGGUAUGACGGUACCGCUAGAGAAAGCACCGGCUAACUUCGUGCCAGCAGCCGCGGUAAUGUGCGCG
rnacentral:rRNA from 1 species